rnacentral:lncRNA from 1 species
GUGCAAUGUAAGAAUUAAAAAAAACUUGAUAUCGAUGAAAAUUAUGAAAACUUCAGUUUAGAAAAUAUUCUAAAAAUAUUUGUAAUACUCUAACUUUUCUAAAAUAUGUAUAGGUCGAUUUGCUUUGUAGAAAUAUUUGUAAUAUUUUAACUUCCCUAAAACGUGUAUGCACUUUUCUUUUUUAUUAAACUUUUAACUAAACUUUUUUAAAAAACGUUUUAUACUUUUAAUUAAACUGUAUAAUGAAAUUAAAUUUUUUAAUUUUAACGCUUAAAAAAUGUUUGUAAAAAAAUAAAAAAAAAUUUUUUAUAAAACGUUUUUAAUAAAAAUAAACUUUGUAAACUUUAUAAAUAUAAA